AGUGAACGCUGGCGGCGUGCUUAACACAUGCAAGUCGAACGAGAACGGAUUAUAGCUUGCUAUAAUUGUCAGCUAAGUGGCGCACGGGUGAGUAAUGUAUAGGUAAUAUGCCUCUUACUAAGGGAUAACAAAUGGAAACGUUUGCUAAUACCUUAUACUCCUUAUUAACAUAAGUUAAUAAGGGAAAGAUUUACUGGUAAGAGAUUAGCCUGUAUUGUAUCAGUUAGUUGGUGGGGUAAUGGCUUACCAAGACUAUGACACAUAACUGGUUUGAGAGGAUGAUCAGUCACACUGGAACUGAUACACGGUCCAGACUCCUACGGGAGGCAGCAGUGGGGAAUAUUGCACAAUGGACGAAAGUCUGAUGCAGCAACGCCGCGUGGAGGAUGACACAUUUCGGUGCGUAAACUCCUUUUAUAUGAGAAGAUAAUGACGGUAUUAUAUGAAUAAGCACCGGCUAACUCCGUGCCAGCCGCCGCGGUAA
rnacentral:rRNA from 1 species